rnacentral:rRNA from 1 species
UACGAAGGGGGCUAGCGUUACUCGGAAUCACUGGGCGUAAAGGGUGCGUAGGUGGAUCUUUAAGUCAGGGGUGAAAUCCUGGAGCUCAACUCCAGAACUGCCUUUGAUACUGAGGAUCUUGAGUUCGGGAGAGGUAAGUGGAACUGCGAGUGUAGAGGUGAAAUUCGUAGAUAUUCGCAAGAACACCAGUGGCGAAGGCGGCUUACUGGCCCGAUACUGACACUGAGGCACGAAAGCGUGGGGAGCAAACAGGAUUAGAUACCCCAGUAGU